rnacentral:tRNA from 1 species
UGCGGGAUCGGCUAAUGGUAGGCCAAUGGACUCUGAAUCCAUUAAUCUAGGUUCGAAUCCUAGUCCCGCAG